AUGGAGGCGUCAACUGAAGAACACCGCACCGCCGUCAAGCACAUCUUGAGGUACAUUGUCGGCACCCUGCAUCUGGGUUGCAAGUACAACAGAGGAGCUGGUGAGCCUGAACUCACCGGAUACAGCAACAGUGACCUUGGCGGCGAUGUGGACAUCCGCAAGAGCACCUCCGGGACCCUGUUCUUGCUCGGAGGAGGAGCGAUAACCUGGCAGUCGCAGAAACAGAAGAUUGUGGCACUCUCUAGCUGCGAAUCAAAGUAUGUUGCAGCAACCACAGCUGCCUGUCAGGGAAUAUGGCUCGCGCGCCUGCUCGGGGAGUUCAGAGAAAUGGAGGAGAAGACAGUGAGACUCAAGGUCGACAACAAAUCUGCAAUCUCUCUGGCGAGGAACCCCGUGAUGCACGACAGAUCGAAGCACAUCGAGCUCAGGUAUCAUUUCAUCAGAGAUUGCGUGGAGACGAAGAAGAUCGAACUUGAAUAUGUGGCAACAGAAUUUCAACUUGCAGACAUGCUCACCAAGCCCCUUGGUCGCGUUCGACUGCAGCAGCUCCGUACCACAAUAUGUCCCUGGUGA
rnacentral:rRNA from 1 species